rnacentral:rRNA from 1 species
CAAUAGCGUAUAUUUAAGUUGUUGCAGUUAAAAAGCUCGUAGUUGGAUUUCGGAUGGGAUUUGCCGGUCCGUCGUUACGAUGUGCACUGGCCAGUCCUAUCUUGUUGUCGGGGACUAGCUCCUUGGAUUCACUUCCUGGGACUAGGAGCUGACGAGGUUACUUUGAGUAAAUUAGAGUGUUCAAAGCAAGCCUACGCUCUGAAUACAUUAGCAUGGAAUAACACGAUAGGACUCUGGCUUAUCUUGUUGGUCUGUGAGACCAGAGUAAUGAUUAAGAGGGACAGUCGGGGACAUUCGUAUUUCAUUGUCAGAGGUGAAAUUCUUGGAUUUAUGAAAGACGAACUUCUGCGAAAGCGUCUGCCAAGGAUGUUUUCAUUGA